rnacentral:rRNA from 1 species
UACGUAGGGGGCAAGCGUUGUCCGGAAUCAUUGGGCGUAAAGAGCGUGUAGGCGGUCCGGUAAGUCGGCUGUGAAAGUCCAGGGCUCAACCCUGGGAUGCCGGUCGAUACUGCCGGACUAGGGUCCGGAAGAGGCAAGUGGAAUUCCCGGUGUAGCGGUGAAAUGCGCAGAUAUCGGGAGGAACACCAAUGGCGAAGGCAGCUCUCUGGGACGGUACUGACGCUGAAACGCGAAAGCGUGGGGAGCGAACAGG